UAACCUCAGCUCAGUCAUGGAAAUCCGUUUAAUUUAAGCAUAUAACUAAGCGGAGGCAAAGAAACUAACGAGGAUUUCCCUGGUAGCGGCGUGUGGACGGGAAAAAGCCCAGCGCUAAAUCCUUUUAGCCGUUGGCUCUAGGGAACUGUGGCGUAUAGGUGUAACUACUCAGAUGAUUGUUCACCCAAAGUCCUUUUGAGUGGGGCUACCGUCCACAGAAGGUGCUAGGCCUGCACGGGGGUGGUGAAACAUUUGGUUUGGUUGCACCUUGGAGUCGGGUUGCCUGAGACCGCAGCCCAAAGAGGGUGGUAAACCCCUUCUAAGGCUAAAUAGGCCACAAGACCGAUAGCAAACAAAUACCGUGAGGGGAAGCUGCAACAAAAUACACAAUGAAAGAUCAUAUUUGUUUUGAUUUAUAUGUAAUCCGUAUUGUGGCAAUUCACCGCAGUAAGCAAAUCCCAGUUUUCUACUUUAACUGACCCGCAAAAUUAGCUUUCCUGCCAAAGAUAGUUUUUCAUGCUGCUACAAGUUUUGGUGCAUGUAAAAAUAGCCGAUAUGCUGUCCGGUCCCAAAGCUGAGAAGUUUUUCACUAUAAAUUUUAACACCAAGUGAAAUAUAAGAGUAAGCUGAAAGGUGAAUUUAAAACUUUUGGAACAGAUAGGGACGGGGGACAUCCUCAGAAUAUUUCAGCUUCCUGGCUGUUUCUAGCUUCCGAAUUAGUGACUUUCGCGCCAGAACUUUUUGUUGGCAGUAUGUCAGACCUAGGCAAACACUGGGGGUAAAAUUGAAUUUGUGAGAAUCCUGCAUAGGCAGAAAACACUGUCCAACAGGAUUAAGUGAAGGCCGAUUCUAAAUCUGCGGAUAUGCACGUGGCAGAAAACAAUCCUCUGAAAUGUCAGCGUUGCAGCUUCUGUGGUUCACAAAAAAAUAAUCUUCCUCGCUAAAAAUUUCAUGGAGCUGAGAGUGAAAUCUAGAGGUACAUUAAGUGUGCGGGUCAGCUUUUGUAGCUACUGAGUUGAAAGCACGGGACAAGACGCACUCGGACACACAUAUAUACGCAAACACACACAUACACUGAUAGAGGAAUUGCAAAUGUCCAGAAGCUCUUUGUGCUUAUCCGGUUGAUCUUUGUUCAGUUGUUUUUGACAA
rnacentral:ncRNA from 1 species